rnacentral:rRNA from 1 species
GAUGAACGCUGGCGGCGUGCCUAACACAUGCAAGUCGAACGGGCGCGGCGUGCGGCAGGGGCCUCGGCCCCUGCGGCGCCGCGCGAGUGGCGGACGGGUGAGUAACGCGUGGGCAACCUGCCCUGUACUGGGGGAUAACACCUGGAAACAGGUGCUAAUACCGCAUAAGCGCGCUGUGCCGCAUGGCGCGGCGCGGAAAACCCCGGUGGUACAGGAUGGGCCCGCGUCUGAUUAGCUGGUUGGCAGGGUAACGGCCUACCAAGGCGACGAUCAGUAGCCGGCCUGAGAGGGUGGACGGCCACACUGGGACUGAGACACGGCCCAG